GAGGUUGUGGCUCAGUGGUGGAACGCUCACCUAGCAAGGGCGAGGCACUGGGUUCAAUCCUCAGCACCACA
rnacentral:tRNA from 1 species